CUAAAGCUCGCGUACCCGAUUGCCGCCAACAUUGCACAUCAAAACUUUGAACCGAAAUACACAUCUGUUAGACUACUUACGGUCUUUUGAAAGGAAGAAUUUUAAUUUUAAACCACUUAAAAUGUAACACUUGUUGGUAAAAUAAAUCCUAAGGUUUUAAUAAGGAGUAUGACAUUUAAUAGAAAAACACAAAUUUCAGUGCUAGCAGGAGGGGAAAGACAACACUGCGCAUCCAAUGGAGACCAUAUGUUUUGAAAAGUGUUCUGCUAUCGGCUUUGCAUGAACCUGAUUUCCUUCGAUUUUCUGAAAUUAUUUGACUUGUCACACUGCCGAAAGACCACCCAUGAGCUCUAGAGAGUUGACAUUAUGUAUCUUAUCAGAAGAAUGGAUUGUCCAUUAUCAAAUUCUUACGAAAAUUUCCUUGGCCCGAUUCUUAACCUUCUCAGACAAAUCACCCAGCACUCUCCUUCUCUUCUUCAGUUGUUUGUAGCCUUCUUUCAAAACUGUGUGGAAUCACAGUCCGAAGUUUGUUUCCAAAAGAUAGACAUGCAUAUUUCUUGAGGGAACAAUAAAGAAGUAUUGUAGAGUGGCAAGGAAUAGCAUCAUAUAGAGAGUGCUGAUGCAGUUGUGACAUUAGCCAAUGAACUUCUCUGAGCUGAGCAGCCUUUAAUUAAGUCAGCAACUAUCACAAGUGUCAACGAAUCCUGCAAAUUUCAACUUUCACACUCUGUCCAGGCAAACAUGUUGUUAAUGCAGUUCUAGAUGAGGAGCAGAAUAAGAAGAGGAAUGCAUGUUGUUUAGUUUGGUGUCAAAUUUCGUUUACAGAUCAGUUAAGUUUACAUCAUACAUACAUACAACUAGCUUCUUAAAAUUUACAAGUAUGGCUUUGUGCUACUAAACAUGCCUCUGCGUCACAAGAACUUCUUUGGAUAACAUGUUACAGCACCUGAGAAUUUUGUUUCACCAAUCCCAAUUUAAUUUGUUUACUUGAAAUUGAUCUUAUUUUUUUAUGUUGUUUUAGCCCAGACACUUGCGGUCAGAAUCUACUAUAGCCCUCAUGCACUCCUGCGGGCUACUUCUGCCUGCUCCAACCCCUCAACUCACCUAGAAGGCAUAUUCCUGAAUGUAUAUAAGGAUAUGAUUCCUGAAUGUUUGAUCUCUAUUGUAACGACCAAUUUCAUAUGACUCCUGUUUUGUCUGUUUACAGCACCCACUGGGCCCCCUACUUCGUUGAUGAACAUGGUGACAGUUCAGCAUUUUAUAAAGAUGUUUGAUGUUGAAAAAUAUGUAAAUUAUUAUUUUUCUUGUGAAUUAAAUUUUCUUUCUGAGCAAACGUAAAA